rnacentral:rRNA from 1 species
UUGGACCUGAAAUCAGGCAAGAAGACCCGCUGAAUUUAAGCAUAUAACUAAGCGGAGGAAAAGAAACUAACCAGGAUUCCCUCAGUAACGGCGAGUGAAGCGGGAAUAGCUCAACUUUAAAAUCUCUGAUUUAUCAGCGAAUUGUAGUCUAUAGGAGUAGUCACCGGUGUUUUAACAGGAAUAAUUCAAGUGGAAUCUUGGACCAUGGAGGGUGAUAGUCCCGUUCUAUGUCUUGUAUAAAACACGUAAGGUGCGCUUCCGACGAGUCGGGUUGCUUGGGACUGCAGCCCUAAUGGGUGGUAAAUUCCAUCCAAAGCUAAAUACUGGCGAGAGACCGAUAGCGAACAAGUACUGUGAAGGAAAGAUGAAAAGAACUUUGAAAAGAGAGUCAAAAAGUACCUGAAAUUGUUGAAAGGAAAGUGUAUGAAACUAGUGUUGACUGUAUGUACCUGUACUUAUGUGUCAGGUCAGCAUGGGUUGAAUAUCGUGAGAGACGGUUCGCAGAAAGGUAUCACCUUGCGGGGUGUGUUAUAGUCUGUGUUGUCCUGUCAUGGAUUCGACCGAGGUUGCUUGUUACCUUUGUGGUUUGAUGGCCCUUGUGUUAUGCUUCUGUUUACUGCAUGCAGUGCUCGGUGGUAUGGCUUGAGACUCCUAUUAAAUUGCACGUAACAACGAGAUGCUGACGAAAUGGUUUCCUACAGCCCGUCUUGAAACACGGACCAA